rnacentral:misc_RNA from 1 species
AAAUCUCUCUCAUCGACAUUCCAACCUAUACUUUGUCGUUAAAUAUUUAUCACAGGAAACAAGAUGGCAAUGUCUGCAGAAGAAGAAAUACAGGCGAUGGCCCAGCACUAUUUGGUUUGUGGCACUGAAGACUGUAAGAGGAACUGUCAGUUCUAUUGCAAUCCUUGUCACCAAAGAUUGUGUAAACGAUGCAGAGACGAACAUCAGAAGAGUCAAGAUACCAAGGACCAUGAAGUGGUCCCUUACAAACAACGCAAACCACAACUUCCAGAGGAGAAAUGCAAUCUCCAUCCAAAACGAAAUGUAGAAAUUCUUUGUAAGGAAUGUAAUGUCCCUCUUUGCGCUAAGUGUAUCUUCAUGAAAGAGCACACUGGUCAUCAACUUGACGAUCUGGAAGAAAAAUACGCGGAAAAGGUCGCAUUUUGCAGAUCAGAAAUAUCCAAAAUCCAGGAGUAUUACCUCUCAACAUCACAAGGUUUAAAAAAAGAGAUUAAAGAAGAUGUCAUGGCAAUAAAAAAUACUAUGGACGACAUCAGAAGUUCCAUAAGGGCUGAAGCGGAGUCUCUGAAAGAGCUUGUGAAUAGGGUCACAUCAGACAAAUUGGAACAAGCGAAUAUAAUGGAAGAAUCACUUCUCAAGACACUAAAAUCACAGGAAAAAACUUAUGAGGAUUACACUGAAUAUCUUGAAAAACUUCUGAAGGAGUUUCACAGCUACAAGUCCAUAGACAAUAUCAGAGUUUUAUUUUCUGAUGAUUUUAAAAAUUUAAAAAUCCAAUCUAUACCAGAGACAGCACAACCAGUUUUACCAGUGUUUACUGCCGGUCAUUUCGACAAAGACGAAGUUUCUAAGUUGCUUGGUAGUGUAAAUUUUCCGAACACCAAACUUAAUAAUAGAAGAAUAAAACCCAUGGAGAAUGCCUCUACACAGUUAAAACUUACAGGGAAACAGAUGAGACGAGACGCAGAGAAAUCUGACGUGAAACAAACACUGUCUCUGUCUUCCUCUGUCACCAAGGUCAGGGAGUACACAGUACCAGGUGUUGAAGAUGUAAAUCAUAUAUCACUAGGUAAAUCAGGCAGACUCUGGGGCAGUGAUGAUAAAGGUAACCUUGUCCAAACAGAUCUACAGGGGGAUCAGCUACAGAAGAUACAAACCAGUGGUAGAGAUGAAGGCUACCACACAGUCACACAGGACGGGGAUCUGAUCUAUACCGACAGAAAGAACAAAGUCAUCAAUAGGAUAAAACAGGAUAAUACAAUCAUUGAAUUUAUUAAAACUGGAGACUGGGAACCACUCUGCAUACACUCCUCCCAGAUCAACGGGGACAUACUGGUGGGGAUGGAAAAAGGUGUAAAGGCUAAAGUCACCAGGUACAACAAGACAGGAGAAGAAAUACAGAACAUACAGAGGGACAACAGAGGACAGGGACUGUAUUAUUAUCCACACUACAUCACAGAAAAAAAACAUCAAUGGUGAUAUCUGUACAUCAGACCUUUACAAACGAGUUGUAGUGGUAGUAAAUAAAUCAGGACAACACAGGUUCUCCUACACAGGUCACGGGUCAGCGUUUUAUCCCGAUGCUAUCUGUACUGAUCUUCUUGGUCACAUCAUUGUCUGUAACGGUUGUUUUGGUAAUGAUUCACUUGACAUCAUUGAUCAGGACGGUCAGUUCUUGUCUCUACUACUCACACUACAACAAGGGAUACGUCCCUGUGGUCUGUGUGUAGAUGAUGAGAGCCACCUUCAUGUGGGACAAUUUAACACCAACACAGUGACAGUGUACAAGUAUCUACAGUAAAUCUUCAACGUAAAGAUUUAUGUCAGCCGUCAUUCAACAGCAUUUGUAUAUAAUUAAGACAUUUAUUUCGUCUUCGAUCUGAAUCAUUGGGAAUGUUGUAUCAACGUGCGUGUAGUAAAAUGCAUUUGCUAUAACACUAAAUAAACUGAAAAC